rnacentral:rRNA from 1 species
UAGUGGCGCACGGGUGCGUAACGCGUGGGAAUCUGCCCUUGGGUUCGGAAUAACUCGCCGAAAGGCGUGCUAAUACCGGAUAAUGACGAAAGUCCAAAGAUUUAUCGCCCGAGGAUGAGCCCGCGUAGGAUUAGCUAGUUGGUGUGGUAAAGGCGCACCAAGGCGACGAUCCUUAGCUGGUCUGAGAGGAUGAUCAGCCACACUGGGACUGAGACACGGCCCAGACUCCUACGGGAGGCAGCAGUGGGGAAUAUUGGACAAUGGGCGAAAGCCUGAUCCAGCAAUGCCGCGUGAGUGAUGAAGGCCUUAGGGUUGUAAAGCUCUUUUACCCGGGAUGAUAAUGACCGUACCGGGAGAAUAAGCCCCGGCUAACUCCGUGCCAGCAGCCGCGGUAAUACGGAGGGGGCUAGCGUUGUUCGGAAUUACUGGGCGUAAAGCGCACGUAGGCGGCUUUGUAAGUCAGAGGUGAAAGCCUGGAGCUCAACUCCAGAACUGCCUUUGAGACUGCAUCGCUUGAAUCCAGGAGAGGUGAGUGGAAUUCCGAGUGUAG